rnacentral:rRNA from 1 species
GGGUCAGUAGGUUGGUCGUGCUACCGGUACGUACUGGUCUCACUGAUUCCUCCUUCCUGAAGAACCGUAAUGCCAUUAAUUUGGUGUUGCGGGAAACAGGACUGUUACUUUGAAAAAAUUAGAGUGUUUAAAGCAAGCUAACGCUUGAAUACAUUAGCAUGGAAUAAUGAAAUAGGACGAUCGAUCCUAUUUUGUUGGUUUCUAGGAUUGACGUA